UAUAUAUAUAUUAUAUACAGGGACACAGGAACUUUAUAAUAUAUGUUUAUAAUCCACUCUCUCAUCCUAGUAGCCCAUAUAUCAGAAUUCCAAUAUCUGAACCGAAUCUAUCUAUUUACACAUUGGAUGGAAGAGAACUAACUAUUCAGAUAAAUGAGAUACCGGAGCAUGUUAGAAGAAUUCCAAGCAGAAACUCAUCAGCAAACUAUGAAGCUAUAUUUAGGAAUUU